UACCCUACGGGACGCAGCAGUGGGGGAUAUUGCACAAUGGGGGGAACCCUGAUGCAGCGACGCCGCGUGGGUGAAGGAGCGUUUCGGCGCGUAAAGCCCUAUCGGCAGGGAAGAAGAUGACGGUACCUGGCCAAGAAGCCCCGGCUAACUACGUGCCAGCAGCCGCGGUAAUACGUAGGGGGCAAGCGUUAUCCGGAUUUACUGGGUGUAAAGGGAGCGUAGACGGCUUGGCAAGCCAGAUGUGAAAGGCUGGGGCUCAACCCCAGGACUGCAUUUGGAACUGUCAUGCUAGA
rnacentral:rRNA from 1 species